rnacentral:misc_RNA from 1 species
GCUAUUUCGAGGAGCUUCUAAUCCUAUUAGGUCUAAUGGCAUAAGGAAUCAGGAACUUGCAGACUAAAAGAGUCCAGGAUUGUCUCGGUAGGCAUCAAAUGAGCAUCUCCCUUCAACUCAAAUUGGGCAGACCUCAUUCAAAUCCAAGACAAUAAGUUAAAAUUUUUAGUUUACUGCCUACAGAACCAACUUUGUAUUGCCUUCAUUUAACUCACACUAUUACAAAUUAGUGGAAAUUCUGUGUAAGAAUCAACAAAGUUCACAUCAAGAAGAUGCUUAAUGUUAAAUGGCUCAUAGCAUGACAACCCUGAAACCACUAAAUAAGAGAGAAUCACCCAUUUGGCAGCAAAGGGCACUCCAAUGGUCUCUUAUAAUUCAGAUUUGAAAUAUAGUUAACAAAUUGGUGUGCUCAGUUCCCCAUGUGCAUCCAAUAAAAUGAUAAUAAUCAAUAAUUAAAAUUACCAUCAA